UAAAAACUUGUGUUUGAUUGAUUGAUUGAUUAUUACAAGGCCCCAGGGUCUACAUUUAUACCCUGCUCAAAGAGCUACAAUCAGACACGACCAGGACUCGAAUUCCAAAUUAAACAGAAUCCGUAUACAAAACAAUUUGAAUAACUAAGGAAAACACAAAACUAUCCUCUCGUGACAAACUGGGACACCACCAUGGACCAAUCGGCAACCUUCAGGUUCUCCUUCCGAAUCAUCGUCAGACUCCUCAUCGUAGCCAUCGAUAAAGCUAACGCUUGACCAUCGGCAUGAACGCAUCACCACCCAUAGACUUAGUCACAUUCAGCUGUCCCUUCAUCGGCAACCACCCUCAUCGGCAACUCCCCUGCACACCAGUUACUGUUAUCCUAUCUUGCCGAUCUACACUCUACCGAUCCUGGGUACGUGUCAAAAAACGGUGUCAACGAAUCUUGAAGACACAAGCAUAGGAACCAUUGUAAUGCUACAAAAAUUGAAUUUUGAAACCUCUCCACAAGAUAUGGUGCUGACGUUGCAUAGAAUUUAAUGUUUAGAGAAAUCGAAGUUAUUUUUGUUAACACAUAGAAACCUCUCCACGAGAUAGACAUUCCACAGCACAGAUGAUUGCUCUAACAAUAUAUAGAAUUAUGUACCAACAAUGUAUAAAAUUGAUACAGACAAUAUUGUAUAGAAAUGUAGGAAGUGCACAGACAAUUAUCCUAACAACAUAUGCCUAAGUGUUCUAACAAUGCAUAUAAGAGUGCUUCAAACAUGCAUAUAGCAUAUAGUUGUAUACAGAUGAACACAUAAAUGCUCAAGAAUGUAUACAAAUUUGUUCUUAUGAGUAAGCCAUCAAUUACAUGAGCCAUCAAUAUUUUACAUUGACCCAUCAACUCUAUCAAAAAAGAUCACACUAUGCCACUGACACAAAAACCAUCAAAGUCAGGCAUAAAAAACUAUGGAAGACAUCUUUGACCAUGCCACGCCAUUGCCGUUGUCCACACCACCAUCCGCCACCACUGAUUCACUCCAUGCUCAUACAUGUAGUUUCACAAAUAAUGAGUAAUUUUAGUCGUUUAUCAUAAAGUUUUGCCUCAUACAUGUAGUUUCAUAAAUAACAGAUAAUUUUAGACCUCUUCACUUACCAACAUAUAUGCAUAAAAAAUAACUAAUACUAGAAGAUUUACGAAGCACAUAGAAAAUAAUUAGUGAUAUAUUUACAGGUACAAAAAAGCAUAUGAAAUCAUGCUUGCUUGCAUUGCUAGUUCUUAGUAUUGCAUAAAAAUAGUUGCACAAAGACAUGAAAAUUCUAGAAACACAUGAAGCAUAGAUACAUCUAGCUACAACAUCUCCAUCUUGAAAAAAAAACAUGAGACAGCAUGGAGCAUAGAAAGCUUUUACACAUGAAACAUAAAAAUUGUGACCACAUCCGUCCCGAACUUAUCAUGCAAAAGAAAGCUCGAUCUAAAAAUACCUCCAGCUAACAACAUCCAUCACACAUGAAGCAUAAACUUUUACACAUGAAGGAUGUCAUUUUCACAUCGGCGCUUCCUUCCAACCAUCCUACAUCACAAUAAGGUAUAGAAACAUGUUUUAGAUGGCGCAGAAACCUUACAGUGGCAAAAGAAAAAGCAUGGAAACAACUUUUAGUAUGCACAUAAACCUUAUAGCUGCAAGAAAGACAUGUAAACUUAUUUUACUGACACAAAAAUCUAUUAUGGUCCCAACCCAAACCUUGCCUCCCACUUAUACGAAUGAAUAAUCAAUAAAAAACAAUGCGUAGAACCCUAAACCAUUAUUUUAACUUUGAGGGUGUAUAAUUAACAAAGGAGCAAUGCAUAAAACCUUAAAUACCCUCCAUUCAAGGGGAUUAUUGUACCAGAAACGUGGCAGCCCCAACCCAAAGAAUACAUAGAACAAUGUAUAGAAUUGUGUACCAACAAUGUAGAAGUAAAACUUUCAACUAAAAUACACAAGUACACACACAUACACAAACAACAAACUAAGAUUCUUCAUGGACAUAUGAACAUACUACAAGUAAAUAUCCAAAAUCAGGUUCGGGCAUAUAUGCCAAAUGCCAUGGACUUAUCGGUAUAAAUACUGAAAUAGUCACCCAAAGAUAACAACGGUA
rnacentral:lncRNA from 1 species